rnacentral:lncRNA from 1 species
GGUGAUAUAACAAGGAAUCCAUGGUUUCACAUGGAAACGACUGCACCUGCAAUUAACAACGCUAUCAAACGACUGAGCAAGCGGUAACCUAGCCAAACAAGGUUUGCUGGGUAGUGGAAAGAUUAGAGGUUUCAUGGCAAUGUUGGGAGGCUGAUAUUUAACAGGUGGUAGGCAGUGAGACAUAGCGAUAGAAACGAAACAACUAGCAUGGCAAUGAUAGUAAUGGUAUAUAGGGAAAUGAUCAUCUUGCCUGUGAUCCCGCUUGGAAGAAGAACGACUCCGUGAAGCAGAUGAACCGAUAUAGUCGAACGGAUCCUCACAUUCCGACAAGCUUACGGAACUCUAUCGAGAUGAGAAAACAAGAAUCAACACACGAUAUUCACCACGGCACAUGCACGAUAGGAUGCACCACCUAAUAUGAUGCAUGUCCAUUUACAUAUAGAGUUCAUUGCAAACGGAACUACGGUUUAAAAGAUAUGAUUACCGCAAGAUAUGAUGCCAUGAAUGCAAUAUGUAUGCAAAAGGCAGCCACAAACAUUCCAAACCAAGACGGCAACAACAUAAAAUGAAACUACAUGAGAAUCUAAGCAAGUUUCAUAUAUGACACGUUCCAAACGGAGCAACGAUUCAACAAUUACAAGCAAAACAAGAAAUAACUACAUCUGCCAAAAACAGCAACAUGUCAUUUUAUACAACUUAAAACAACAAGCUACAUAAUUCUAAAAUGCUCAAACAAGGCAUGAGGCAGUAGUGGUCAAGAUGCACAAUAACCCUCUACUAAAUACAACUAGCAUGGAAGCAUAUAUCACUAGGAAAAUAACUCACAAAAUGACAAGUAGCACAUAGUUUCAAACUUGGUGAAAAUAGCAGUUUUGACAAUGCAGUUUUCAACCAGAAGGCAUAUUGGCAGUAGUAAAACUAUAUGCUAUAGGGCAUAGAAUGGCAUGAAAUUUUUAUAGCAUGAUAGAGAAUUUUAAGCACUACAAAUAACUCCAUUGCACCAACCCCAAAGGAGUUGUAUAUCACUAGAAAAUAUCAUGUCAAGACAACAACAAAAUAUUACAGAUUACAAGCAUAAAUAUUUCAGCAUCUCAAGUCAGCACUAUUUUUUAGCAUGUUGGCAACAAGCAAACAACACCUAAACAUGAAUUUCUACAACAACCAAAAUUACCAGGAGCUAGCAUACAUGUCCAAGGGCAUAACUCAAGUUGACAAGUCAUUUAUAUCAUGCACGGAAUAAUUCACACAAAAAUAAAGAAAAGGGCAACAUGGCCAAAUAUCAUGCAUGCUAACUUACUUAGUAAACAAAACUAAAUGCACAGAUAAAUUCUACAGAUUUUUCUAACCGAAAACAUAUAUAAUAUAUGGGGUUCUAAAUAAAACUAGUGGCACCACAUAUAUGCGAGAAUAUGUCUUAAACCGGUCUUUAGCAAACUAUUUAUGCCACCCACAUGCAAACAACAAGAAACAUAUAUAUAAUAUGCAUGGAAAGGUGUUACAAACAACAUGAACAUUUUACAUAUCGGGUUUGAUCAAUUCGGAUGCACGCCUAAAUAUCUACGGAAUAAAUCACCUAAACAUAACAACACACAAAGCUAUGCAAAUAGCAGGCCAAUCAAUUUUAAAUAUGCAUGCAAGUUGGAAAAUAUUAAUCUACGCAAAAUUCUACAUGACAUGCAUAUAUGACUUGUUGCGAUCCGAUGCAUGGUUAAAAAGAUACAUGCGUUUUAAAAUCAUGCAAUUUUCUGACAAUGAAUUAAAUCGGAGGACCUAAAAAAAAUACUAAACGGGCAGAAUCUGCUACUGCGGGCGUAAACAGAGCACGAGUACAACAACACUAAAUAGCGCCCAUGGCGUGGAAUAGGACAGGGGCGGUCACCGAGGGCCUUCGGGCCGACCUGGUGGGACGAGGUGGCUGGGCCCAGGUGGUGGGACGAGGCCGGCUAGUGUAGUCAACGGGGCCGCGUCGGCCCGGGAUCUUGCACGGAAGCUGGUCCCAGAGCGAGGGCGUUCUCGGGCGUCGUCCUCCUGCUCGAUCCGGCCUGGUUCGAGCGAGGCAGGGCUGGCCAUGGCGAGGUGGGCAAGCGACGGAUCCGACGAGGGCGGCCUCAGUUCCGACUAGCUUCGGCGGGGCUGAGGCUUCGGUGGCUGGUGGCCUCACCCGCAAGGCACAAGCGCCAUGGAGUUAGAUAGAGAAGCAUGGAGAGUAAGAGGAGAUGCGCGGGGGCGAGCUCUGGCCUGGGGUGUCCGGCGAGGUUGCUCCGACCGCGGCAGUCAGCGGCGCUCCGGCGACGCGGGGCUGCUGCAGGGUGCGUCGACGGGAGCUCGCGAGCUCUCGCAUGUGAGGCAGGGCACGGACCGACGACGAUUCCAGAUGGACCCGGGAGGGCCAUCUGCGGGCUUGGCGGCUGGGAGAAGAGAGGGGGUGGGAGAUGACGGCUGGGUGCGGAUUUCGAG